AUUGAACGCUGGCGGCAGGCCUAACACAUGCAAGUCGAACGGUAACAGGAAGCAGCUUGCUGCUUUGCUGACGAGUGGCGGACGGGUGAGUAAUGUCUGGGAAACUGCCUGAUGGAGGGGGAUAACUACUGGAAACGGUAGCUAAUACCGCAUAACGUCGCAAGACCAAAGAGGGGGACCUUAGGGCCUCUUGCCAUCGGAUGUGCCCAGAUGGGAUUAGCUAGUAGGUGGGGUAACGGCUCACCUAGGCGACGAUCCCUAGCUGGUCUGAGAGGAUGACCGGCCCACUGGGAACUGGACACGGGCCAGACCCCCACGGGGGGCAGCAAGGGGGAAUUUUUCCCAAAGGGGGGAAACCUGAAGGAAGCCCGCCGCGGGGGAUAAAAAGGGCUUCGGGUUUUAAAACUCUUUUAAGGGGGAAGAAAGGAGGUAAAGUUAACACUUUUCCUCUUGGCGUUACCCCACAGAAGAACCACCGGUAAACCCCGG
rnacentral:rRNA from 1 species